rnacentral:misc_RNA from 1 species
AAGUCGUAACAAGGUUUCCGUAGGUGAACCUGCGGAAGGAUCAUUAACACGUUUUUCCGAACGUUUUCUGACUCAUUCUAUUUUCCGUGCACAAAACAAAAACACCGGCCUCCUGAUACUGUCACCUUUGUGAUCGUGUCAGGCGUCUUUUAGGGUUUAUAGAAAGGAUAUCUCGUUCUGAAAAAAGAAAUUCUAGUACGAACGUGUUAACUUUUCUCCUUUAAGGCGUUGCCAAAUAACCCAAACCCUUAAACCUAAUUGCUCUGAAACUCUAGUUGUGGCGUGGUCUUUAUUGAUUUCACACAACGAUUAAAAACAAACAACAACUCUUAACAACGGAUAUCUUGGUUCUC